rnacentral:rRNA from 1 species
UACGUAGGGAGCAAGCGUUGUCCGGAUUCACUGGGUGUAAAGGGUGCGCAGGCGGAUUUGUAAGUCAGAGGUGAAAUCUCACGGCUUAACCGUGAAACUGCCUUUGAUACUGCAGAUCUUGAGUUUGGGAGAGGUUGAUGGAAUUCCAGGUGUAGCGGUGAAAUGCGUAGAUAUCUGGAAGAACACCAGUGGCGAAGGCGGUCAACUGGCCCAUAACUGACGCUCAGGCACGAAAGCGUGGGGAGCGAACAGG